rnacentral:rRNA from 1 species
UACGUAGGGGGCAAGCGUUGUCCGGAAUCAUUGGGCGUAAAGAGCGUGUAGGCGGCCCGGUAAGUCCGCUGUGAAAGUCCAGGGCUCAACCCUGGGAUGCCGGUGGAUACUGUCGGGCUCGAGUCCGGAAGAGGAGUGUGGAAUUCCUGGUGUAGCGGUGAAAUGCGCAGAUAUCAGGAGGAACACCGGUGGCGAAGGCGGGUCUCUGGGCCGAGACUGACGCUGAGGAGCGAAAGCGUGGGUAGCGAACAGG